rnacentral:rRNA from 1 species
UACGAAGGGGGCUAGCGUUGUUCGGAUUUACUGGGCGUAAAGCGCACGUAGGCGGUUUGUUAAGUCAGGGGUGAAAUCCCGGAGCUCAACUCCGGAACUGCCUUUGAUACUGGCAAGCUAGAGUCCGGAAGAGGUAAGUGGAACUCCUAGUGUAGAGGUGGAAUUCGUAGAUAUUAGGAAGAACACCAGUGGCGAAGGCGGCUUACUGGUCCGGAACUGACGCUGAGGUGACGAAAGCGUGGGGGAGCAAACGGG